UAGGGAAUCUUCGGCAAUGGGGGGAACCCUGACCGAGCAACGCCGCGUGAGUGAAGAAGGUUUUCGGAUCGUAAAGCUCUGUUGUUAAGGAAGAACGAGUGUGAGAAUGGAAAGUUCAUGCUGUGACGGUACUUAACCAGAAAGGGACGGCUAACUACGUGCCAGCAGCCGCGGUAAUACGUAGGUGGCAAGCGUUGUCCGGAUUUAUUGGGCGUAAAGCGAGCGCAGGCGGUCAAUUAAGUCUGAUGUGAAAGCCCCCGGCUCAACCGGGGAGGGUCAUUGGAAGCUGGUUGACUUGAGUGCAGAAGAGGAGAGUGGAAUUCCAUGUGUAGCGGUGAAAUGCGUAGAUAUAUGGAGGAACACCAGUGGCGAAGGCGACUUUCUGGUCUGUAACUGACGCUGAUGUGCGAAAGCGUGGGGAUCAAACAGG
rnacentral:rRNA from 1 species